rnacentral:tRNA from 1 species
GCGGAUGUGGUGGAACUGGUAGACACGCCAGACUUAGGAUCUGGUGCCGCGAGGCGUGGGGGUUCGAUUCCCUUCAUCCGCA